CCCGACUGCUAUUUGGGUGAGGAUAAGCCAUGCGAGUUGAAUGGGAUACCUAAAUUUCCCAUGGCAAACUGCUUAGUAACACAUGAUCAACUUACCCUAUGGAGAAAUAUAACCUCGGGAAACUGAGGAUAAUGCUUCAUAGUUGAAUAGGCUUGGAAAAGUUUUUCAAUGAAAGGGAUAAGAAAAAUGGUUCUUAUCUGCCAUAGGAUAGGAUCGUGCUCGAUUAUGGUUGUUGGUGAGGUAACGGCUCACCAAGCCGAUAAUCGAUAGGGGCCGUGAGAGCGGGAGCCCCAAGAUGGGUACUGAGACAGCGACCCAGGCCUUACGAGGCGCAGCAGGUACGAAACCUCCGCAAUACACGAAAGUGUGACGGGGUUACCCAAAGUGUUCUUAUAGAACUGUGGCAGGUGAAUAAUGUCCCCUGCUAGAAAGGAGAGGGCAAGGCUGGUGCCAGCCGCCGCGGUAAAACCAGCUCUUCAAGUGGUCGGGAUAAUAUUGGGCUUAAAGUGUCCGUAGCCGGUUUAGUAAGUUCCUGGUAAAAUCAGGUAGCUUAACUAUCUGUAUGCUAGGAAUACUGCUAUACUAGAGGGCGGGAGAGGUCUGAGGUACUACAGGGGUAGGGGUGAAAUCUUAUAAUCCUUGUAGGACCACCAGUGGCGAAGGCGUCAGACUGGAACGCGCCUGACGGUGAGGGACGAAAGCCAGGGGAGCGAACCGGAUUAGAUACCCGGGUAGUCCUGGCCGUAAACGAUGCAUACUAGGUGAUGGUACGGCCAUGAGCCGUGUCAGUGCCGUAGGGAAACCGUUAAGUGUGCCGCCUGGGAAGUACGGUCGCAAGGCUAAAACUUAAAGGAAUUGGCGGGGGAGCACCACAAGGGGUGAAGCCUGCGGUUCA
rnacentral:rRNA from 1 species